UGUGUACUAUGGUGCAUUGAGUUGGUUGGAACCUCUCCAGCGCACUGACAAUAAACAAUGAUUCAUUUAAGAUUGACUUUGAGUGUCCCUGUGUAAGAAUAUUUCUGCCUGCGGAGCUUUCCAGUUGGGGCCUGCGAGGAAAACCGGAGGCGCAUUUUAUGAAGCGUGAGGGAAAUUCCUGUCCGACCAAAAGAGGACGAGGACCAGUCAAGAUCCUUACUGUGAGCUGCCCAGGAGGAGACACAUCACCCACGAACAAUUGAGGGACGGCAACUGAUUUCACAAAUCUCACCAGAUUGGGUCUGCUGGAUGGUGGAGUUUUCUCCCUGAGGAUUAGCCCUCUGACUCCAUGACCUGUAACUCUUCAUUGAGAUCGCCAAGAUGAUAGGGGAGUAUAAGCCAAUUUGGGGGGGGGGGGGGGGAAUGGUUUCAACUGUGUGGUGUUAUUCUCUAAGACAUUUGUCUUAGAAGUCUGGAUUUCCUGAAUUACAAAUGCCCUAAACUAAACUGUUGUUCUGGUCUGUCCUCUCUCGAGGUAAUGGCGGAGAUUGUAUCUAGAUGCAUGGAAAAUAAUUUGGCCGAUGAACAGUGUGAUCCUCAACACCCCCUUUAACCGGCUGAAAUUGGUGAAAAUGGUGUCCAGUAUGGUCCUUCACCACUUCUACCGUGAGACCUGAGUCCAAGCCAGCAACCUGUACACAGCAGUCGACGCGCUAUCAACUGCCUUUUCUCCCAUGUUUUUUCUCUCAGGAGCGACAUGUGGUGCACGUGAGCAUGGAGAGAGAUCCUUCUCUAAUGCUGCUGGUGUACUGGUAGGAAAAUGGACAAAGACAUAAUGAACUGUAAAGGACAGUGGCGGCUCAGGUGAGAGACACUAUCAAGGGCCAUCCACUUUGAACAUGUGCCAUUAAAAAGACAAACUGAAACACUAUCUGAAGAAGAACAUGAAGAAAUGUCAGGAAAGGAAGAAUGAGUGCCCGUAAUUGAUUUAGGCUUGUCCAAAAUGGUUUAUUUGGGGUAUUGGGUGGAUUGUGAAGGUUUGCACACUGCAAAAUGUUGUGAUUUAGACUAACAAUGCAUUGAAAUACCAAUCUGUCAUUACCACGAGUGAUGAGAAAAGUGAGGGUCUUAAAUUAAAGUGACAGAACCAACGUGACGCACUAAGGAUUGUCAUUCUAAAUUUGGGUUUGAUAAUAUAUCAAUAAUUCUGAUUCUGAUUUGGAAAGGCAAAACUUCUAGAGACAGAACUGUGUCCUAAAAACGUGAGGAGAGACACUAGAUUGUUACAAGGUUAGCCCAAGCUACAAUCUCAUUCUUAGCAAGGUUGGUGUGAAACUGUUAUAAUGUGAACUCUUUCUCUUCCCUGUGAAAUGUUAUUAACAUGCGAUGUGCCUCUCUGGCUGAUAAGAUUUCAGCAGCUAUCUUGUUUUCUACUCCUCCAGAGGAUGGUGAAACAGUUAGAUGCCAACUCUGGAUGAGCCCCCCCAUUUCCUCCGGUUCUUUUCCUUUUAGCAAGUUGAGAGUAAGGUCAUCUAAACCCUUAACCUAUGUGGACACCACACUAUGUGGAACACUGAGCUGAUGAGCAAGUUAAACAACUGGGUUUUAUGCUUUGACUAUGUGGAUGUUCCAGGGACAGUUAGUGAAAACAUAGGUCAAUGCAACCCAAGUGUGGAAAGAAAUAUGGAAACAAUGGUUAACAUCAAGAUAUUUAUUCACCUCUGAAUCUACAGAUCCGUUGUGUAUUUUGGAUACUCACUCCCAUUAAUAAAGUAUAACCUUUAUUAUGAUUAUAGUAUUACCAUACUGAGUGGAUUGUACAACCCAGAAUGAAGGGUUUGAAAUGAUGAAGUGUCUGUUUUGUUUUUGUGUUGAUUUCCCUUACUUUCAUAGAGUAUAGAAUAUUUUGAUAUAGAAGCUAAAAUGUAAAUGCUUACAUUAAAAUUGAAUGGUUAUCACACAAGAGGUAAGAUAAGAGGAUAAGAGGAUGGAAUGUAAUGGGAAUUUUAAUGUUUGCUUUUCUUACAACCAAUUUCUGUGUUCUAUUCAUGUGCUGUUCUAAUAACAAUUUUCUGUGUUCUUGCAAGUGGCUGACUGACAAAUCACACCUAUCAGUAGCUGCAAUUUGGCAGUACGCCCAAAUGUUAUUUUGAGAUCAAACAACCGUGUUUUGAGAACAAAUGAAAUAUCUCAGUUUCUCAGUUUGGUCUGUCACUUGUUAUGAAACGGUAUUGGUUGGUCACAUGAAUGAAACAACAUGGUAAUGAUUAAUUGAUUAUGCUAAAUCAUGCAAAUAUAACUUGUCUGUGUAUAGCCGUACAUAAUACAACUGCUGGGACUGUCCCAGGGGAGCUUCUGACAGACGUGUACUAUGGUGCAUUGAGUUGGUUGGAACCUUUCCAGAAACGCUGACAAUAAACAAUGAUUCAUUUAAGAUUGAC